rnacentral:rRNA from 1 species
AGCGAACGCUGGCGGCAGGCCUAACACAUGCAAGUCGAACGAACCUUUCGGGGUGAGUGGCGGACGGGUGAGUAACACGUGGGAACGUGCCGUUAGGUUCGGAAUAACUCAGGGAAACUUGUGCUAAUACCGAAUGUGCCCUGCGGGGGAAAGAUUAAUCGCCUUUAGAGCGGCCCGCGUCUGAUUAGCUAGUUGGUUGAGGUAAUGGCUCACCAAGGCGACGAUCAGUAGCUGGUCUGAGAGGAUGAUCAGCCACAUUGGGACUGAGACACGGCCCAAACUCCUACGGGAGGCAGCAGUGGGGAAUCUUGCGCAAUGGGCGAAAGCCUGACGCAGCCAUGCCGGGUGAAUGAUGAAGGUCUUAGGAUUGUAAAAUUCUUUCACCGGGGACGAUAAUGACGGUACCCGGAGAAGAAGCCCCGGCUAACUUCGUG